AGGGGUAAACCUGAGAAACCCGAAAGGUCGAAGGGAGAAAUUCAUCGCGUUUCGACGUGAGCGGCACGGCGUCGUGCGACGGGAGGGUGACCUUCCGCGCCGUCGUCGCGUCGAACUUGCGACGAACGCGUGCACUUUUCUCCUGGUAGGACGUCGCGAUCCGUUGGGUGUCAGUCUACGACUCGGGGUGGAGCCCGCUCGUCGCCUCGCAGCGCGAACGGACCCCCGCGGUCUGGCUGGCUCGCUCGACGGUAUACAUGAAAGGUCGAGGGCCGCUCCUCUGCGAGCGUUCGACUCGCGGCAAGCGCGCCAGACGCGUCGGCGACCGGACCUAGUGCCGAUUCCGACCUCUGGUGACUGUUGGCCGUCGAAGUUCUCGAACAGACCCUUUAUUUAAAAGACCGAUCUGCGACGCUAUAGCUUUGGGUACUUUCAGGACCCGUCUUGAAACACGGACCAAGGAGUCUAGCAUGUGCGCGAGUCAUUGGGAAUCACUAAACCUAAAGGCGUAAUGAAAGUAAAGGUCUUCCUCGCGAAGACCAAGGGAGGACGAGCGGUUUACCGUUAAAAGUAGCCGUUCCGCACUCCCGGGGCGUCUCGUUCUCAUCGCGAGAAGAGGCGCACCAAGAGCGUACACGCUGGGACCCGAAAGAUGGUGAACUAUGCCUGGUCAGGACGAAGUCAGGGGAAACCCUGAUGGAGGUCCGUAGCGAUUCU
rnacentral:rRNA from 1 species